rnacentral:rRNA from 1 species
GACGAACCGAGCGAACGUUGUUCGGAAUCACUGGGCUUAAAGGGCGCGUAGGCGGGCUGCCAAGUCCGUGGUGAAAUCCCCCGGCUCAACCGGGGAAGGGCCUCGGAUACUGGCGGCCUCGAGGGGGGUAGGGGCGUGCGGAACUGUGGGUGGAGCGGUGAAAUGCGUUGAUAUCCACAGGAACUCCGGUGGCGAAGGCGGCACGCUGGACCCCAUCUGACGCUGAGGCGCGAAAGCCAGGGGAGCGGAACGGG